GGCACUAUAGCCAAAUGGCCAAGGCAUGGGUCUGCAAAACCUUGAGUGCGGGUUCGAAUCCCGUUAGUGCCU
rnacentral:tRNA from 2 species